rnacentral:rRNA from 1 species
GGUGAACGCUGGCGGCGUGCUUAAGACAUGCAAGUCGAACGGCAGUCUUCGGACUGUAGUGGCGCACGGGUGAGUAACGCGUAACUGACCUACCCCAAAGUCGCGGAUAACGAUUCGAAAGAAUCGCUAAUACGUGAUGUGCUGUCAGAUUGUGUUCUGCCAGUAAAGAUUGAUUUCUUUGGGAUGGGGUUGCGGUCCAUCAGCUAGUUGGUGGGGUAAAGGCCCACCAAGGCGACGACGGAUAGCCGGCCUGAGAGGGUGGCCGGCCACAGGGGCACAGAGACACGGGUCCCACUCCUACGGGAGGCAGCAGUUAGGAAUCUUCCACAAUGGGCGAAAGCCUGAUGGAGCGACGCCGCGUGAGGGAUGAAGGUCUUCGGAUCGUAAACCUCUGAAUCAGGGACGAAAGACACUUCGGUGGGAUGACGGUACCUGAGUAAUAGCACCGGCUAACUCCGUGCCAGCCGCCGCAGUAAUAC